rnacentral:tRNA from 1 species
GCCGAAGUGGCGAAAUUGGUAGACGCAGUUGAUUCAAAAUCAACCACUUUUUGGGUGUACCGGUUCGAGUCCGGUCUUCGGCACCA